AAGUGUGAUCAUACCAACGUUAAUGCAACAGAUCCCAUUAGAACUUCAAAUUUAAGCGUGGUUGAGCUAUAGUAGUAUUGGAAUGGGUGACCUCUCGAGAAGUCAUAGUGUUGCACCCU
rfam:Picea glauca, whole genome shotgun sequence.